CCUUUACGCCCAGUAAUUCCGAUUAACGCUCGCACCCUCCGUAUUACCGCGGCUGCUGGCACGGAGUUAGCCGGUGCUUCUUCUGUGGGUAACGUCCAAUUACCUAGCUCUUAACCUAGCAAUCCUCCUCCCCACUGAAAGUGCUUUACAACCCUCAGGCCUUCUUCACACACGCGGCAUUGCUGGAUCAGGGUUGCCCCCAUUGUCCAAUAUUCCCCACUGCUGCCUCCCGUAGGAGUCUGGACCGUGUCUCAGUUCCAGUGUGGCUGGCCAUCCUCUCAGACCAGCUACCGAUCGUCGCCUUGGUAGGCCUUUACCCUACCAACUAGCUAAUCGGACGCAGGCUAUUCUUAAAGCGCCAGGCCCGAAGGUCCCCAGCUUUGUUCCUUAGAACAUAUGCGGUAUUAGCUUGAGUUUCCCCAAGUUAUCCCCCUCUUUAAGGUAUAUUCCUACGCGUUACCCACCCGUCCGCCACUCGCCAUCACUCUAGCAAGCUAGAGCAUGCUGCCGUUCGACUUGCAUGUGUUAGGCAUGCCGCCAGCGUUCAAUCUGAGCCAGGAUCAAACUCUAAGAGGCACCGGCGCCCCUCGCGAUGGAUGAGUCUGGGUGGAGAGAUCGGAAGGAACACCAGUGGCGAAGGCGGCUACCUGGCCAGAUACUGACACUGAGGCACGAAAGCGUGGGGAGCAAACAGGAUUAGAUACCCUGGUAGUCCACGCCGUAAACGAUGUCAACUAGCUGUUGGCCUUAUGAAUAAGGUUAGUGGCGAAGCUAACGCGAUAAGUUGACCGCCUGGGGAGUACGAUCGCAAGAUUAAAACUCAAAGGAAUUGACGGGGGCCCGCACAAGCGGUGGAGCAUGUGGUUUAAUUCGAUGCAACGCGAAGAACCUUACCUACCCUUGACAUACAGUGAAUUUAGCAGAGAUAUUGAAGUGCCUUCGGGAAUACUGAUACAGGUGCUGCAUGGCUGUCGUCAGCUCGUGUCGUGAGAUGUUGGGUUAAGUCCCGUAACGAGCGCAACCCUUAUCCUUAGUUGCCAGCACGUAAUGGUGGGAACUCUAAGGAGACUGCCGGUGACAAACCGGAGGAAGGCGGGGAUGACGUCAAGUCAUCAUGGCCCUUACGGGUAGGGCUACACACGUGCUACAAUGGCAGGUACAGACGGAAGCGAAGGAGUGAUCUGGAGCAAAUCCUAAAAAGCCUGUCGUAGUCCGGAUUGAAGUCUGCAACUCAACUUCAUGAAGUCGGAAUCGCUAGUAAUCGCGAAUCAGAAUGUCGCGGUGAAUACGUUCCCGGGCCUUGUACACACCGCCCGUCACACCAUGGGAGUGGGCUGCACCAGAAGUAGAUAGUCUAACCGCAAGGAGGACGUUUACCACGGUGUGGUUAAUGACUGGGGUGAAGUCGUAACAAGGUA
rnacentral:rRNA from 1 species